rnacentral:ncRNA from 12 species
GUAUCCCUAGAUGAUAAAACACCGCACAUGGCUCGUAAGAGCGGUUAAAUUAGCAAGUAAUGCAAAUUACGCGAGGUAACGCAUGGCCUAGGCUCGUUAGUAGCUAAUU